CGUAGACCCGAAACCAGGUGAUCUACCCUUGGUCAGGUUGAAGUUCAGGUAACACUGAAUGGAGGACCGAACCGACUUACGUUGAAAAGUGAGCGGAUGAACUGAGGGUAGCGGAGAAAUUCCAAUCGAACCUGGAGAUAGCUGGUUCUCUCCGAAAUAGCUUUAGGGCUAGCCUCAAGUGAUGAUUAUUGGAGGUAGAGCACUGUUUGGACGAGGGGCCCCUCUCGGGUUACCGAAUUCAGACAAACUCCGAAUGCCAAUUAAUUUAACUUGGGAGUCAGAACAUGGGUGAUAAGGUCCGUGUUCGAAAGGGAAACAGCCCAGACCACCAGCUAAGGUCCCAAAAUAUAUGUUAAGUGGAAAAGGAUGUGGCGUUGCCCAGACAACUAGGAUGUUGGCUUAGAAGCAGCCAUCAUUUAAAGAGUGCGUAAUAGCUCACUAGUCGAGUGACACUGCGCCGAAAAUGUACCGGGGCUAAACAUAUUACCGAAGCUGUGGAUUGUCCUUUGGACAAUGGUAGGAGAGCGUUCUAAGG
rnacentral:rRNA from 1 species